AGUGAACGCUGGCGGUAGGCCUAACACAUGCAAGUCGAACGGCAGCACAGUAAGAGCUUGCUCUUACGGGUGGCGAGUGGCGGACGGGUGAGGAAUACAUCGGAAUCUACUUUUUCGUGGGGGAUAACGUAGGGAAACUUACGCUAAUACCGCAUACGACCUACGGGUGAAAGCAGGGGAUCUUCGGACCUUGCGCGAUUGAAUGAGCCGAUGUCGGAUUAGCUAGUUGGCGGGGUAAAGGCCCACCAAGGCGACGAUCCGUAGCUGGUCUGAGAGGAUGAUCCGCCACACUGGAACUGAGACACGGUCCAGACUCCUACGGGAGGCCGCAGUGGGGACUAUUGGACAAUGGGCGAAAGCCUGAUCCAGCCAUACCGCGUGGGUGAAGAAGGCCUUCGGGUUGUAAAGCCCUUUUGUUGGGAAAGAAAAGCAGCAGGUUAAUACCCCGCUGUUCUGACGGUACCCAAAGAAUAAGCACCGGCUAACUUCGUG
rnacentral:rRNA from 1 species